GACGAACGCUGGCGGCGUGCUUAACACAUGCAAGUCGAACGGAAAGGCCCUGCUUUUGUGGGGUGCUCGAGUGGCGAACGGGUGAGUAACACGUGAGUAACCUGCCCUUGACUUUGGGAUAACUUCAGGAAACUGGGGCUAAUACCGGAUAGGAGCUCCUGCUGCAUGGUAGGGGAUGGAAAGUUUCGGCGGUUGGGGAUGGACGCGCGGCUUAUCAGCUGGUUGGUGGGGUAGUGGCUUACCAAGGCUUUGACGGGUAGCCGGCCUGAGAGGGUGACCGGCCACAUUGGGACUGAGAUACGGCCCAGACUCCUACGGGGGGCAGCAGUGGGGAAUAUUGCACAAUGGGCGGAAGCCUGAGGCAGCAACGCCGCGUGCGGGAUGACGGCCUUCGGGUUGUAAACCGCUUUAGCCUGUGACGAAGCGUGAGUGACGGUAAUGGGUAAAGAAGCACCGGCUAACUACGUG
rnacentral:rRNA from 1 species